GACGAACGCUGGCGGCGUGCCUAAUACAUGCAAGUAGAACGCUGAAGGAGGAGCUUGCUUCUCUGGAUGAGUUGCGAACGGGUGAGUAACGCGUAGGUAACCUGCCUGGUAGCGGGGGAUAACUAUUGGAAACGAUAGCUAAUACCGCAUAAUAGUAGAUGUUGCAUGACAUUUGCUUAAAAGGUGCAAUUGCAUCACUACCAGAUGGACCUGCGUUGUAUUAGCUAGGUGGUGGGGUAACGGCUCACCAAGGCGACGAUGCAUAGCCGACCGGAGAGGGGGGGCAGCCAGCCUGGGACUGUGACCCGGCCCAGACUCCCUCGGGAGGCAGCAGUAGGGAAACUUGGGGAAUGGGCGGAAGUCUGAGCGAGCAACGCCGCGGGAGGGAAGAAGGGUGUCGGAUCGGAAAGCUCUGUUGUAAGGGAAGAACGAGUGUGAGAGUGGAAAGUUCACACUGUGACGGUAUCUUACCAGAAAGGGACGGCUAACUACGUG
rnacentral:rRNA from 1 species